rnacentral:lncRNA from 1 species
ACACACACACACACACACAAACUAGCUUAGCAGGUUGUCACUGAUCACCGUGGUCGACGAGAAGACGACGAUGGCGGUAAGGCUGAUGCUGGUGGCGGCGCUGCUGUGCGCGGCGGCGGCGGCGGCCGCGGCGCAGCAGGCGAACAACGUGCGCGCGACGUACCACUACUACCGGCCGGCCCAGAACAACUGGGACCUGGGCGCGCCGGCGGUGAGCGCCUACUGCGCGACCUGGGACGCCAGCAAGCCGCUGUCGUGGCGGUCCAAGUACGGGUGGACGGCGUUCUGCGGCCCCGCCGG